GAUGAACGCUAGCGGGAGGCCUAACACAUGCAAGCCGAGCGGUAUUUCUUCUUCGGGAGAGAGAGAGCGGCGUACGGGUGCGGAACACGUGUGCAACCUGCCUUUAUCUAGAGGAUAGCCUUUCGAAAGGAAGAUUAAUACUCUAUAAUAUAUUAAUUGGCAUCAAUUGAUAUUGAAAACUCCGGUGGAUAGAGAUGGGCACGCGCAAGAUUAGCUAGUUGGUGAGGUAACGGCUCACCAAGGCAAUGAUCUUUAGGGGGCCUGAGAGGGUGAUCCCCCACACUGGUACUGAGACACGGACCAGACUCCUACGGGAGGCAGCAGUGAGGAAUAUUGGUCAAUGGGUGCAAGCCUGAACCAGCCAUCCCGCGUGAAGGAUUAAGGUCCUAUGGAUUGUAAACUUCUUUUGUAUAGGGAUAAACCUACCCUUGUGAGGGUAGCUGAAGGUACUAUACGAAUAAGCACCGGCUAACUCCGUGCCAGCCGCCGCCGUAAAAC
rnacentral:rRNA from 1 species